rnacentral:rRNA from 1 species
GAUGAACGCUAGCGGCAGGCUUAAUACAUGCAAGUCGAGGGGCAUCAAGGUACACGAAAGUGUAUUGUUGGCGACCGGCGGACGGGUGAGUAAUAGGUAGGUAACCUACCUCAUACUGAGGCAUAGCUGGGAGAAAUUCCAGGUAAUUCCUCAUGAGGUUAUAUGACACAUGUGAUAUAAUCAAAGGUAUCGCAAGGUACUGGUAUGAGAUGGGCUUACUGACCAUUAGCUAGUUGGUGAGAUAAGAGCUCACCAAGGCGAAGAUGGUUAGGGGUUUUGAGAGAGAGAUCCCCCACAUUGGAACUGAGAUACGGUCCAGACUCCUACGGGAGGCAGCAGUAGGGAAUAUUGGGCAAUGGGCGGAAGCCUGACCCAGCCAUGCCGCGUGAAGGAAGACGGCCUUAUGGGUUGUAAACUUCGUUACUUAUCGCGACUAAACCUAGAUUACGAGUAUAAUUCUAUAGAAUGUAGCGUAAUAAGACAAAAGCACCGGGCUAAACC